AUUGAACGCUGGCGGCAGGCCUAACACAUGCAAGUCGAACGAGUGGCGGACGGGUGAGUAAUGUCUGGGACACUGCCUGAUGGAGGGGGAUAACUACUGGAAACGGUAGCUAAUACCGCAUACCAUCAGAUGUGCCCAGAUGGGAUUAGCUAUUGGGUGGGGUAACGGCUCACCAAGGCGACGAUCCCUAGCUGGUCUGAGAGGAUGACCAGCCACACUGGAACUGAGAAACGGGCCAGACUCCUACGGGAGGCAGCAGUGGGGAAUAUUGGACAAUGGGCGAAAGCCUGAUGCAGCCAUGCCGGGUGUAUGAAGAAGGCCUUCGGGUUGUAAAGGACGUUCAGCGGGGAGGCGGUACCCGCAGAAGAAGCACCGGCUAACUCCGGUGCAGCAGGCGCGGUAAUUC
rnacentral:rRNA from 1 species